UGAGGAAUAUUGGUCAAUGGUCGCAAGACUGAACCAGCCAUGCCGCGUGCAGGAAGACGGUCCUAUGGAUUGUAAACUGCUUUUAUACAGGAAGAAACCCUCCCCCCGUGUGGGAGCUUGACGGGUACUGUAGAAUAAAGGAUCGGCUAACUCCGUGC
rnacentral:rRNA from 1 species